rnacentral:rRNA from 1 species
UACGUAGGGGGCGAGCGUUGUCUGGAUUUAUUGGGCGUAAAGAGCUCGUAGGCGGUUCGGUAAGUCGGAUGUGAAAUCUCCACGCUCAACGUGGAGGGGCCAUUCGAUACUGUCGUGACUCGAGUCCGGUAGGGGAGUGUGGAAUUCCCGGUGUAGCGGUGAAAUGCGCAGAGAUCGGGAGGAACACCGGUGGCGAAGGCGGUUCUCUGGGCCUUACCUGACGCUGAGGAGCGAAAGCGUGGGGAGCGAACAGG